UACGGAAGGCAGCAGGUGGGGAAUAUUGCACAAUGGGCGAAAGCCUGAUGCAGCUAUGCCGCGUGUAUGAAGAAGGCCUUAGGGUUGUAAAGUACUUUCAUCGGGGAGGAAAAACAAAACUAAUAAUUUUAUUUCUUGACGUUACCCGAAAAAGAAGCACCGGCUAACUCCGUGCCAGCAGCCGCGGUAAUACGGAGGGUGCUAGCGUUAAUCAGAAUUACUGGGCGUAAAGAGCACGUAGGUGGUUUUUUUAAAGUUCAGAUGUGAAAUCCCUGGGCUUAACCUAGGAACUGCAUUUUGAAACUGAAAUACUAGAGUAUCGUAGAGGGAGGUAGAAUUCUAGGUGUAGCGGUGAAAUGCGUAGAUAUCUGGAGGAAUACCUGUGGCGAAAGCGGCCUCCUAAACGAAUACUGACACUGAGGUGCGAAAGCGUGGGGAGGCAAACAGGGAUUAGAU
rnacentral:rRNA from 1 species